ACCAUACCAGUAUAGACCUUAUAGGGCGGACCCCCCAACUUAUGGUGGACAGUACGGACCCCCGCCCCCCGCUUACGGGGCCCCUGGCUAUGGAGCCCCUCAAGGCUUCUACUGAGGGUUGACGUAGUUUGCUGACGAAGAUUUAUAGAAACACGUGCCUUCUAAAGUGAUUGGGUGGAGUCGACUGGAAACUACAAUGUUAUUGUUAUAAUAUCCUCUUACUCA